CCUACGGGCGGCAGCAGUGGGGAAUAUUGCACAAUGGGGGAAACCCUGAUGCAGCGACGCCGCGUGAGUGAAGAAGUAUUUCGGUAUGUAAAGCUCUAUCAGCAGGGAAGAAAUAGCGACCUUUGGGUCGCCAGACGGUACCUGAUUAAGAAGCCCCGGCUAACUACGUGCCAGCAGCCGCGGUAAUACGUAGGGGGCAAGCGUUAUCCGGAUUUACUGGGUUGAAAGGGGGCGUAGACGGCAGCGCAAGUCUGAAGUGAAAUGCCGGGGCUUAACCCCGGAACGGCUUUGGAAACCGUGCAGCUAGAGUGCAGGAGAGGUAAGUGGAAUUCCUAGUGUAGCGGUGAAAUGCGUAGAUAUUAGGAGGAACACCAGUGGCGAAGGCGGCUUACUGGACUGUAACUGACGUUGAGGCUCGAAAGCGUGGGGAGCAAACAGGAUUAGAUACCCGUGUAGUC
rnacentral:rRNA from 1 species